rnacentral:rRNA from 1 species
GACGAACGCUGGCGGCGUGCUUAACACAUGCAAGUCGAACGGAAAGGCCCUGCUUUUGUGGGGUGCUCGAGUGGCGAACGGGUGAGUAACACGUGAGUAACCUGCCCUUGACUUUGGGAUAACUUCAGGAAACUGGGGCUAAUACCGGAUAGGAGCUCCUGCUGCAUGGUGGGGGUUGGAAAGUUUCGGCGGUUGGGGAUGGACUCGCGGCUUAUCAGCUUGUUGGUGGGGUAGUGGCUUACCAAGGCUUUGACGGGUAGCCGGCCUGAGAGGGUGACCGGCCACAUUGGGACUGCGAUACGGCCCAGACUCCUACGGGAGGCAGCAGUGGGGAAUAUUGCACAAUGGGCGGAAGCCUGAUGCAGCAACGCCGCGUGCGGGAUGACGGCCUUCGGGUUGUAAACCGCUUUCGCCUGUGCCGAAGCGUGAGUGACGGUAAUGGGUAAAGAAGCACCGGCUAACUACGUG